rnacentral:rRNA from 1 species
UACAGAGGGGGCUAGCGUUAUUCGGAAUUAUUGGGCGUAAAGGGCGCGUAGGCGGCGGGGUAAGUCGGGUGUGAAAUCUCAGAGCUCAACUCUGAAAUGGCACUUGAUACUGCUCUGCUAGAGGACUGGAGAGGAGAUUGGAAUUCACGGUGUAGCAGUGAAAUGCGUAGAUAUCGUGAGGAAGACCGGUGGCGAAGGCGGAUCUCUGGACAGUUCCUGACGCUGAGGCGCGAAGGCCAGGGGAGCAAACGGG